rnacentral:rRNA from 1 species
GAUGAACGCUGGCGGCGUGCCUAAUACGUGCAAGUCGAGCGAAUGGAUUAAGAGCUUGCUCUUAUGAAGUUAGCGGCGGACGGGUGAGUAACACGUGGGUAACCUGCCCAUAAGACUGGGAUAAAUCCGGGAAACCGGGGCUAAUACCGGAUAACAUUUUGAACCGCAUGGUUCGAAAUUGAAAGGCGGCUUCGGCUGUCACUUAUGGAUGGACCCGCGUCGAAUUAGCUAGUUGGUGAGGUAACGGCUAAACAAGGAAACGAUGCGUAGCCGACCUGGGAGGGUGAUCGGCCACACUGGGACUGAGACACGGCCCAGACUCCUACGGGAGGCAGCAGUAGGGAAUCUUCCGCAAUGGACGAAAGUCUGACGGAGCAACGCCGCGUGAGUGAUGAUGGCUUUCGGGUCGUAAAACUUUGUUGUUAGGGAAGAACAAGUGCUAGUUGAAUAAGCUGGCACCUUGACGGUACCUAACCAGAAAGCCACGGCUAACUACGUGCCAGCAGCCGCGGUAA